AGUGAACGCUGGCGGUAGGCCUAACACAUGCAAGUCGAACGGCAGCACAGUAAGAGCUUGCUCUUACGGGUGGCGAGUGGCGGACGGGUGAGGAAUACAUCGGAAUCUACUUUUUCGUGGGGGAUAACGUAGGGAAACUUACGCUAAUACCGCAUACGACCUGCGGGUGAAAGCAGGGGAUCUUCGGACCUUGCGCGAUUGAAUGAGCCGAUGUCGGAUUAGCUAGUUGGCGGGGUAAAGGCCCACCAAGGCGACGAUCCGUAGCUGGUCUGAGAGGAUGAUCAGCCACACUGGAACUGAGACACGGUCCAGACUCCUACGGGAGGCAGCAGUGGGGAAUAUUGGACAAUGGGCGCAAGCCUGAUCCAGCCAUACCGCGUGGGUGAAGAAGGCCUUCGGGUUGUAAAGCCCUUUUGUUGGGAAAGAAAAGCAGCAGGUUAAUACCCCGCUGUUCUGGCGGUACCCAAAGAAUAAGCACCGGCUAACUUCGUG
rnacentral:rRNA from 1 species